rnacentral:misc_RNA from 1 species
AAGAGGCUACCACCUAAGCAAGUGGCCAAGUUGCCAUGUAGAAACAAAUUUGUUGUAGUAAACAAUUGUGGGCAUAGGUAGGUGGUAGCACACACACAAAAAUGAAUUGGCAAAAUUUUCUUUGCCCAUAAAUAUGGGGAAAUUCUUUAAUUUAAGGGUAGAAUUUGAUUGACUAGCUCUCAACGGCUAUAGAGCUGGUGAAGAAACCUUAGGAGCUAAGGGAAAGCUCAAGAGAGGGACAACAAGAGUAUUUGCUUAAGGAAAU